GACGAACGCUGGCGGCGUGCUUAACACAUGCAAGUCGAAAGGAGUGGGGAACGGGUGAGUAACACGUGGGUGAUCUGCCUUGCACUUCGGGCUAAGAUUGGGAAACUGGGUCUAAUACCGGAUAGUGCAAGAUGAGAUCGCGGCCUAUCAGCUUGUUGGUGGGGUAAUGGCCUACAAAGGCGUCGACGGGUAGCCGGCCUGAGAGGGUGUACGGCCACAUGCGGCCUGCGCGACGGCCCAGACGCCGACUGUAGGCAGCAGUGGAGAAUAUUGCGCAAUGGGCGGAAGUCUGAUGCAGCGACGCUGCGUGGGGAAUUAAGGCCUUCGGGUUGUAAACUCCUUUCGACAGGGACGCGGUACCUGUAUAAGAAGCACCGGCUAACUACGUGCCAGCAGCCGCGGUAAUUC
rnacentral:rRNA from 1 species